CCCGAAUUCCUUUUGUCGAGUCGGUUAUGUGAGGAGUGGGCGCUCGAGUUUGUGAGCAGGAGAUAAUUCUGACUCGGUAUGAAAUGCUGUAAUUAUGGAGCUACAUGUGGAGAAUAAUGGGAAAUUAUUUCAUGAUGAAAGACUGGACAAAUAGCUGGUAUCUGCGUUUUGUGAAUGUGGAUCAUGCUGGCUCAUACCGACUCGGGUGUGAGAUUCUUCUAAUUCAGUAUGUUGUCUCUGCCAACAGCCAACAUGAAAUACUGUGGAUGAAAGUAUAAAGAUCAUAAAGGAAGCAGUUGUAAAAUAAUUCACUCUUCACACUAGGUCUCAGCCUUCCUUUGCUUUGUAAAGUUUUGCUAUCCAAAUUUUAUAGGAGGGAAUGAUUACAGCAAGUAAAUCUCAGCCUUCUGGUGUGACAUGGUGUUAACAAGAGACUCUUUCAACUCUUGUGAUGGUACAAAAAAGUCUGUCAUAAGCUGCCACAUAAACUGCCUUGUCAACAACCAGGCUGGCAUUUGCCUGUAGAGGCGUUCAAACAAAUCUGAAGUAAAACAUUUACAACUAUCA